rnacentral:tRNA from 1 species
GCCUGGGUGGCUCAGUUGGUUAAGUGUCUGACUUUGGAUCAGGUCACAAUCUCACAGUUCAUGGGUUCGAGCCCUAUGUCAGGCU